AAAUUGAAGAGUUUGAUCAUGGCUCAGAUUGAACGCUGGCGGCAGGCCUAACACAUGCAAGUCGAACGGUAACAGGAAGCA
rnacentral:rRNA from 13 species